UACGUAGGUGGCAAGCGUUAUCCGGAAUUAUUGGGCGUAAAGAGCGCGCAGGUGGUUGAUUAAGUCUGAUGUGGAAAGCCCACGGGCUUAACCGUGGAGGGUCAUUGGGAAACUGGUCGACUUGAGUGCAGGAAGAGGGAAGUGGAAUUCCAUGUGUAGCGGUGAAAUGCGUAGAGAUAUGGAGGAACACCAGUGGCGAAGGCGGCUUCCUGGUCUGUAACUGACACUGAGGCGCGAAAGCGUGGGGAGCAAACAGGAUUAGAUA
rnacentral:rRNA from 1 species